rnacentral:rRNA from 1 species
CACGUAGGGCGCAAGCGUUGUCCGGAAUUAUUGGGCGUAAAGAGCGUGUAGGCGGCCAGGUAGGUCAGCUGUGAAAACUCGAGGCUCAACCUCGAGACGUCGGUUGAAACCACCUGGCUAGAGUCCGGAAGAGGAGAGUGGAAUUCCUGGUGUAGCGGUGAAAUGCGCAGAUAUCAGGAAGAACACCCGUGGCGAAGGCGGCUCUCUGGGACGGUACUGACGCUGAGACGCGAAAGCGUGGGGAGCGAACAGG